CUGGCUCAGGAUGAACGCUAGCGGCAGGCUUAACACAUGCAAGUCGAGGGGCAGCGGGGAGGAAGCUUGCUUUCUCCGCCGGCGACCGGCGCACGGGUGAGUAACACGUAUGCAACCUGCNCCUGUCAGGGGGACAACCCGCCGAAAGGCGGGCUAAACCCGCGUACAUGCCACCGGGGCAUCCCGGAGGCAGGAAAGGCUUCGGCCGGACAGGGAUGGGCAUGCGGCGCAUUAGGCAGUAGGCGGGGUAACGGCCCACCUAACCGACGAUGCGUAGGGGUUCUGAGAGGAAGGUCCCCCACACUGGUACUGAGACACGGACCAGACUCCUACGGGAGGCAGCAGUGAGGAAUAUUGGUCAAUGGUCGGGAGACUGAACCAGCCAAGCCGCGUGAGGGAUGAAGGUACAGAGUAUCGUAAACCUCUUUUGUCAGGGAACAAAGGCGGGGACGUGUCCCCGGAUGAGUGUACCUGAAGAAAAAGCAUCGGCUAACUCCGUGCCAGCAGCCGCGGUAAUACGGAGGAUGCGAGCGUUAUCCGGAUUUAUUGGGUUUAAAGGGUGCGCAGGCGGUCUGUUAAGUCAGCGGUCAAAGCCCGGGGCUCAACCCCGGCCCGCCGUUGAAACUGGCAGUCUCGAGUUGGAGAGAAGUAUGCGGAAUGCGCGGUGUAGCGGUGAAAUGCAUAGAUAUCGCGCAGAACUCCGAUUGCGAAGGCAGCAUGCCGGCUCCACACUGACGCUGAGGCACGAAAGCGUGGGUAUCGAACAGGAUUAGAUACCCUGGUAGUCCACGCAGUAAACGAUGAAUGCUGGCUGUCCGGGGGGACUGACCCCUGGGUGGCGAAGCGAAAGCGAUAAGCAUUCCACCUGGGGAGUACGCCGGCAACGGUGAAACUCAAAGGAAUUGACGGGGGCCCGCACAAGCGGAGGAACAUGUGGUUUAAUUCGAUGAUACGCGAGGAACCUUACCCGGGCUCAAACGGGGAGUGACUCAGGCAGAGACGCCUGUUUCCCACGGGACACUCCCCGAGGUGCUGCAUGGUUGUCGUCAGCUCGUGCCGUGAGGUGUCGGCUUAAGUGCCAUAACGAGCGCAACCCCCGCGUGCAGUUGCUAACAGUCAACGCUGAGGACUCUGCACGGACUGCCGGCGCAAGCCGCGAGGAAGGCGGGGAUGACGUCAAAUCAGCACGGCCCUUACGUCCGGGGCGACACACGUGUUACAAUGGGUGGUACAGCGGGAAGCCAGGCGGCGACGCCGAGCGGAACCCGAAAUCCACUCUCAGUUCGGAUCGGAGUCUGCAACCCGACUCCGUGAAGCUGGAUUCGCUAGUAAUCGCGCAUCAGCCAUGGCGCGGUGAAUACGUUCCCGGGUCUUGUACACACCGCCCGUCAAGCCAUGGGAGCCGAGGGCGCUUGAAGUGCGUCGCCGCGAGGCGCGCCCUAGAGCGAAAUCGGUGACUGGGGCUAAGUCGUAACAAGGUAGCCG
rnacentral:rRNA from 1 species